rnacentral:rRNA from 1 species
AUUGAACGCUGGCGGCAUGCCUUACACAUGCAAGUCGAACGGUAACAGGUCUUCGGAUGCUGACGAGUGGCGAACGGGUGAGUAAUACAUCGGAACGUGCCUAGUAGUGGGGGAUAACUACUCGAAAGAGUGGCUAAUACCGCAUGAGAUCUACGGAUGAAAGCAGGGGAUCGCAAGACCUUGUGCUACUAGAGCGGCCGAUGGCAGAUUAGGUAGUUGGUGGGAUAAAAGCUUACCAAGCCGACGAUCUGUAGCUGGUCUGAGAGGACGAUCAGCCACACUGGGACGGAGACACGGCCCAGACUCCUACGGGAGGCAGCAGUGGGGAAUUUUGGACAAUAGGCGCAAGCCUGAUCCAGCAAUACCGCGUGCAGGAUGAAGGCCUUCGGGUUGUAAACUGCUUUUGUACGGAACGAAAAGCCCUGGGUUAAUACCCUGGGGUCAUGACGGUACCGUAAGAAUAAGCACCGGCUAACUACGUGCCAGCCGCCGCAGUAACAC